GCCAAAGGAACCCGAUGAACUCGAUUGCUCAUGAUCACGACGAACUCAGGAUCACCGACUACAAGGGUUUGGUUAGCUUAUACAAAGUUUGAUGUGCAGGUGUAAUUUCUCAAUGUCGAUCGUUAUUAUGGUUGUUUUUACGGUUUCGCUUCUUGUCCUGCCACCAAUGUCUCCACCGUUACCACCGCCACCAUUGAUUCUUCUAUUUGCACCAGUCAUCAUCAUGUCCCUUCUGGUUUUUAUGGCCUUCAUUCCAUCGCAAAUGCCCUCGUUUUCUCCUUGAGAUCCUUUCUUCCUUUUUUUUUUU
rnacentral:misc_RNA from 1 species